rnacentral:misc_RNA from 1 species
UUGUGAAGGGUGACAAUGUUUGGGUUGCGUUCAAGAGCCGCCGCCGCGUCCUGUGUCUUCACUGCUGUAGUCCCGAGAUUUAGUAAAGUAGCCGGCAGAAUGGCAGCACCAGAAGGCUCUAGUGUAGAAGUACUCACAGUUAGCUUGAAUACCUUGCGCUCCCUGAGGAGUACAGUCACUCAGUUUUUGAAGACGCUUGCUGAAGGACCUAAGUAUGAAAAUGACCAAGAUGGAGAAGGAGACUUACUGGAAGUGACAACAAAGGCCAUGGGAGAGAUUAGGAAUAAGUUAAGAGAACUGGAAACACAAAUGGCUGGGCUUACACCAUCUUCCGUUCCAGUAAAUUUAGGAAACACUGGCUUACUAUCUCUGGAUCCUUCUCCUGACAAGUUACCUCAGUAUUACCAGUUACUUGACUGUUAUACAUAUAUGGAAAAGGUGCAUAGUUACUCUACAACUCUGCACAGUGUCCUAUCAGCAAACAACUUGAAGAGAUCAGCUCUAUCUGCCAAGAGGAGACGUCCAAUUCAGUUGAACCACAAUGUACCACAACAACAAGUGGAUAUGUUGAUUCAAGGAAUAAACCAGAUGUUUCAAGACAUGAACCUUACCUUAUCUCGACCAUUUGGGAACAAUGCUGUUGUUCAGGUUGCCUUGGGUCGUGUUUUGAAGGCGGUAGUAACCUUCAAAGGUAUACUGAUAGAGUGGGUGGUUGUACGAGCUCAUAAUGAGUCCCUGUUAGAUGAAGAUGGUAAGGUGGACUUGUACACUCCAUCUCAAUAUAAAGUAUUCCAGAAGGUCACUGAUAAUGCAAAUGCUGCCAUGCUGAAUUUCUGUUCUCCAGGAUUCUCAGACCUGUCUGUUCGAUCAUUUUUUUGACUGCAUAUGCAUACCACUCAACUCUUUUUUGUAUGGGAGAAAAAGGCACUGAUAAUCCCAUCUGGAUGGACAACAAGACUGUUUAUAUACAGUACCCACCAUUGUAUCAGUUGGAAGCAGGCCAACAAGUAAUACAAUGGUACAGAUCGAUUCAACUCCAACUAGCAUUAACAAGCUGGAGCUGAGACAUGGCUCCACAGCUUUGUUUCACUCUUUAAUGAUGUUUGCAAGAAGUGCAACUAUCAUCUGCACAACCACAUGCCUCCAACUUGGAGGGAGUUCCGGACACUAGAUCCAUUUCACGAGGAGUGCAA